rnacentral:rRNA from 1 species
ACUCAAAGGAAUAGACGGGGGCCCGCACAAGCGGCGGAGCAUGUGGAUUAAUUCGAUGCAACGCGAAGAACCUUACCUGGGUUUGACAUGCACAGGACGCCGGCAGAGAUGUCGGUUCCCUUGUGGCCUGUGUGCAGGUGGUGCAUGGCUGUCGUCAGCUCGUGUCGUGAGAUGUUGGGUUAAGUCCCGCAACGAGCGCAACCCUUGUCCUAUGUUGCCAGCGGGUCAUGCCGGGGACUCGUAGGAGACUGCCGGGGUCAACUCGGAGGAAGGUGGGGAUGACGUCAAGUCAUCAUGCCCCUUAUGUCCAGGGCUUCACACAUGCUACAAUGGCCGGUACAAAGGGCUGCGAUGCCGUGAGGUGGAGCGAAUCCUUUCAAAGCCGGUCUCAGUUCGGAUCGGGGUCUGCAACUCGACCCCGUGAAGUCGGAGUCGCUAGUAAUCGCAGAUCAGCAACGCUGCGGUGAAUACGUUCCCGGGCCUUGUACACACCGCCCGU